rnacentral:rRNA from 1 species
GGAGGGUGCAAGCGUUAAUCGGAAUAACUGGGCGUAAAGGGCAUGCAGGCGGUUCAUCAAGUAGGAUGUGAAAUCCCCGGGCCCAACCUGGGAACAGCAUACUAAACUGGUGGACUAGAGUAUUGCAGGGGGAGACGGAAUUCCAGGUGUAGCGGUGGAAUGCGUAGAUAUCUGGAAGAACACCAAAGGCGAAGGCAGACUCCUGGGCAAAUACUGACGCUCAUAUGCGAAAGCGUGGGUAGCAAACAGGAUUAGAUACCCUGGUAGUCCACGCCGUAAACGAUGAGUACUAGCUGUCGGAGGUUACCCCCUUCGGUGGCGCAGCUAACGCAUUAAGUACUCCGCCUGGGAAGU